AGAGUUUGAUCCUGGCUCACGAUGAACGCAGGCCGCGCGGCUAAGACAUGCAAGUCCUACGGACUAUUUUAUUUAUAACGUAGUCAGUCACGAAAGGGUGCGGAAUGAAUAGGCAUUGUACCCCAAACUUCGGGAAAGCGUCAGGAAACUUCGGUUUCCAUCCGAAAGGGGCGGUAAUACCGGAUGAUAUCAUAUUUCAUGAGUUAUAUGAUCAAAGAUUCAUCGUUUUGGGAGCGGCCUAUUUCCUAUCAGCUUGUUGGUGAGGUAACGGCUCACCAAGGCUUCGACGGGUAGCGGGACUGAGAGGUUGACCCGCCACAUUGGGACUGAGACACUGCCCAGACCCCCACGGGGGGCUGCAGUAACGAAUAUUGUGCAAUGAACGAAAGUUUGACACAGCGACGCCGCGUGUAGGAAGAAGCCUUUCGGGGUGUAAACUACUGUCAGGGAUUAGAAAGUGCGCUUCGGCGCAUUGAUCAGUCCCAGAGGAAGUCACGGCUAACUUCGUGCCAGCAGCCGCGGUAAUACGAAGGUGGCAAGCGUUGUUCGGAAUCACUGGGCUUAAAGCGCGCGUAGGCGGAAGUUCAAGUGUCCUGUGAAAUCCCCCGGCUCAACCGGGGAACUGCUGGGCAAACUGGAUUUCUUGAGGCAAGUAGGGGUACAUGGAACUCUUAGUGGAGCGGUGGAAUGCGUAGAUAUUAAGAGGAACGCCGAUGGUGAAGACAGUGUACUGGGCUUGUCCUGACGCUGAGGUGCGAAAGCUAGGGGAGCAAACAGAAUUAGAUACCCUGGUAGUCCUAGCCGUAAACGAUGUCUACUAGGUCGUGGGAGUUCUGACACUAUCACGGCCGAAGCAAAAGUGUUAAGUAGACCGCCUGGGGAGUACGGCCGCAAGGCUAAAACUCAAAGGAAUUGACGGG
rnacentral:rRNA from 1 species